AAUUAUAAUUGUCAUCAUCACUAGUCAUCAGUUAUCAAGAGAGACACCGCUAUUGGUCGCAAUACUGUUCUGGACUAAGGUAUAUUUCACCCACAUGUCAGAGAUAGACUUUGAGCUCGAAAGGUCAUGCAUCUCAAAGAACAUUUGCAUGUUGCAAGACGAGAGCCCUGGAUCUUCUGGAUAUUUCUUCCGUGAGUGGAGUGACAGGAGUAACGAGGAUGAAAAGAUGAACUCCGGUAUCACAGAGAGACACACAGCAGAGAGUCUCCC